rnacentral:misc_RNA from 1 species
GGAAGGAUCAUUAUUACGUAUCCACGUAUCAAACCAAAUCGUGAACUGUUUCCCAUCUAUUGAGGACUUUCUGCGAGUGUUCGUGUUAUCAUGGCACGGUGGAGACCUGGGCUAGCAAAUGGCUUUCGAGCUUUUGUUGGCACCUGUCGAAAAGAAGGCACUCGGUCCUGAAGGGUCAACUAAACAUUGAUCUCUCAGCUCAUUGGAUGUGGUUAUUUCUCUUCUUGCCACUGUGCUUAACACACAAUUAACCCCUUGUAAAUAAUUGAACUAACAUUACGGAGGUGUAGAAGAGCGCAAGCUUUUUGAAACUCUGGAAAAACCGAAACUUAAGAACAACUCUUAACAACGGAUAUCUUGGUUCUCGUAUCGAUGAAGAACGCAGCGAAAUGCGAUACGUAAUGCGAAUUGCAGAAUUCAGUGAAUCAUCAAAUCUUUGAACGCAAAUGGCGCUCUCGGGAUAGGCCUGAGAGCACGCCUCGUUGAGUAUCGAUUCCACCACAUCCAGUAAACAUGCUGGGAUAUUGAGUAAUCACUUUGGCCUCACAAGUCAAGUGUUACUUUAAGCAAAACGAGAUUGUAGGCCUUCUGAAUUGGCGCUUGGUUCGCCUAGGGCAUUUGAGGGUCUUCAAUGACCAGGCAAUUGUCUGAGCGACCGUGACGUGGAUAACCUCACAGUAAAAUGUGAACCCAUCCAAUACGUGGCGGUUCGAGCAAGCAAUUGUUCAAGUGUUUCCGAAACUUAGAAGGAAACUUAAUAGUCUCCUCACCCAACACAUCUUUGAAUUAGAUCUCAACUGAAGCGAGACUACCCGCUGAACUUAAGCAUAUCAUUAAGCGGAGGAAAAGAAACUAACAAGGAUGCCCGCAGUAACGGCGAGUGAAGUGGGCAAAGCUCAAGCCGAAAAUCGGGUCCCCAAGCGGGGAUUCGAAUUGUAGUCUAGAGACGUUUUCUCAGUGGCAACCCGGGUAUAAAUCUUUUGAAACAAGGUAUCAUGGAGGGUGAGAAUCCCGUCUUUGACUCGGAGUUUGCUGCGUACGAGGGGCGUUCGGAGAGUCGAGUUGCUUGGGAUUGCAGCUCUAAAUGGGUGGUAAAUUUCAUCUAAAGCUAAAUAUGGACGAGAGACCGAUAGCGAACAAGUACCGUGAGGGAAAGAUGAAAAGAACUUUGAAAAGAGAGUUAAAAAGUACUUGAAAUUGUUAAGAGGAAAGCACUGGAAACCAGUCGUGCCUUGUUUUAUAUUUACCAUCGACGGGCGAAGGGCGGUUGUCCGGGAGCGCAAGCCCCGGGUGGCUGUUGGACGCUUAGCCGGUGGGUCCUGUAGAGCGAGGUGGGUCAGAAUCAGUUCGAUUCGCGGGAGAAAGUUGUUGGGAAGGUAGGGUUGCGAGGGUAACCUCAAGGCCUGUUAUAGCCUGGCAAUGCUACCGUGGGUUGGACUGAGGAUGAGAAUACGCACCACUAGGUUGCGAUCCCUCUGCCCUGGUGUACAAUCUGUGUUGGACAACAAAGUUGUGCGCAUGGAGAAGUGUGCUACUGGUGGGGGUGGAUCAGCUGCAGUAUUCGAGAUUCUGACGAAAUGGUUUUCAUUGACCCGUCUUGAAACACGGACCAAGGAGUCUAACAUAUAUGCGAGUAUUUGGGUAGCAAACCCUGAUGCGUAAUGAAAGUGAAGGUCGCUCUGCGACUGAGGUAGGAACCGGCCAUUGCGAUGGUUGGGGCACUAUCGACCGAUCGUCACUUGUGAUAGAUUUGAGUAUGAGCAUAUCUGUUGGGACCCGAAAGAUGGUGAUCUAUGCCUGAACAGGGUGAAGCCAGGGGAAACUCUGGUGGAGGCUCGUAGCGAUACUGACGUGCAAAUCGUUCGUCUGAUUUGGGUAUAGGGGCGAAAGACUAAUCGAACCAUCUAGUAGCUGGUUCCCUC